UAGAUAUAGAUAGUUGUGAACUUACUUACUGUUGUUAUAUUUUUAUUUAAAUUCCGAUUGGUCGAAAGCUUAAUGACGUCAAGUUGUGUACCAAUUAUGAUUAUAUGUAUUUCUUUUUAUUUUUGUGGUAAAAUCUGACUUUUAGAUAGCUUUCAAAAUACCAAAGUGGUGAGGAUAAAAAUUUAAAUAAAACUAAGAAGCAAAGUUGGACAGAUGUAAGCCCAACAUGAAUGAAAAACACAUUUGAUUUUGACUUGCCUAUGGCAAUCUUGGCCUACUUAGUAUCCAUCCAAGUCAAAAAAGUCAAAUUUAAAUAAUUAUUUUGACUCCGGUGUGGUGUUAAAAUAAUUUUACACUGGUGUAGGGGUGCUACUUAGUGGUGUUAUCUAACCGGUGUACAAAAGGAUUAAAUUUACUCUGAUCAGACUAUGAAGGUGGGGGUAGAAAUGUUACUAGAUCAGCAAAGCAAAAUAAUAUUCCGUUAAAAAUGAAAGUGAGUGCACUCGGUAAUUGUGAACUGAUUGAAAAAAUAAUGAAAUCCAAACUGUUUUCUCGAGAGUUUGUUCAAAAAAAAAUUCAGGCUCAUUCCUGUGCCAAAGUUUGUUUGGUAAAAAAUAAAAAAUAUAAUUCAAGUCGUCUGAAGGUCGGGGAAGAAUAGACUCGGAUAUUGAAUGAAUUGAAAAAGACGUGUCUUUGACUCUUUGUUGACGACUUUACCACCCGGAGAUGCUGUUCUGCUAAAUAAAGACUAGAACGUGAUUCUAAAGAUUUUUAGACUCACUCUGAUUUUUAUUUUUUAUUCUUUUAUCGACUAUACAAGAUGCACUUGAUAACAUUCAAUAUAUUUUAGCAAUUUUUUAUGCUGCUGCAUUAUAUUUUAUUAUUCUACAAAUAUAUUGAAGAAUUCAAAAAUUUGUUUGGUAAAAAGUAUUCGUCAGAAAAAUAAGGCCUCGAAAAAAAUGGACCAAAAAUUAUUUCUGGCUCUGUAAUUUUUUAACUGUCCAUUUUACCCCAGGUUUUGAACUUAAGUUCACAGAAAUUAAACCAAACUUCUAGUUGCCAGAAAAAAUUUUUUUUUUCUGGCGGAAACCGGCCAAAAUUUUGAAAAAAAAAACUUCUUACCAAAUUUUAGGGGUGGUCCGUUUUUUCCGCCCUUCGUUUAAAUUUAUGAGAAUAUUAUUGCAGUAAAAAUAUGAAUAUUAUUUUUUUCGAGCUUAGUAUUGAAAUAUCCUUUUAUCGUUUGCAUUUAUAACAGCAUUACAGAAAUUUUUAUAUCUCAGUAUUCUCGCGUGUUUAUGAAACGUAAAACCGUGAAAACUUUUAAAAGAGCUUAUAUAUAAAUAUAUAAAGGGAUAGAGAGAUAAAAUAUGAAAAAAAAAUAAGUUCGCAAUAUUCCGCGGUAUUGCAUAUCCAUGAAAGUUUUUAUUACAAACCCAAGUAGUGGUCUUGCAUCAAAAGUAUAUACUACAUUUUAUAUAAACAUGUAUUCACAUAUAUAUAUAAGAAUAUGAUAUUAUUAAUCCAGGUUUUUAUUGAUUAUCAUGGUACAUUUAAUCCAAUUGACGAAAUUCAAUAUUGGGAUUGGAAAAAUCGGCGGAUUGACUGGAUGAUUACCCCAGGGGACGUAUAAGCUGCGCUUUCUAUCUUAACAAUAUUAUUUUUAUUAUUUAAAUAUAACAUUGUCUUUUGUAAGGUAACAAACAGAGUAGAGCCUGAGGCAUCUUUUUGAUCCUCCUCCAAUUGCCGAUACACUUUAAUCCGCAAAUGGUCUCACGAGAAAUUGGAUAGCUCCGUUAGAUUGAGGUUUAUUCGGAUUGAAUUACUUAUCGGUGUGUUAAUCGAGGUCGAAUAUUUUAUCGUCAGUUUAUUUUUUAUAUUCGACAGCUCUGAGUUACACAGGUCCCAGAGAACGCCGAUAUUAUAUUUAAUAACAAUAAAAAUAAUAAUAAAGACUCUGGAGACUAUAAUUUGAAAAUUUUCUAGCUUCAUUAAAUUAUAUGACGUGUUUAGGAUUUUUUCAUGACAUUCUGCUAUAGAAAUUACUGUUCCCUAUACCCCAGACCACACUCAAAAUAAAUUUCAAACGAAUCCAUUCUUUGGUUCAAAAGUUAUCCACUGAAAUGUGAGUAUAAUGAAAUUAAUAAUGAUCAAAAUUUGGUUUUUUCAUUUUCUCGAUUUCUGAGGCCUGUAAUAAUUUUUAUG